GCCAAAUAAAGCUGAGAUGAGAGAAAACAGCCCACGUGGCGUUACCUCAGCCCACGUGACCUUACCUCAGCCCACGUGACCUUACCUCAGCCCACGUGACGUUACUUCACAAGGAGCAGGUAAAGUUCCACGUGGAUGCUGAAACCUUCCUGAACACUCCUGGGUGGUAACCACUGGCUCCAUCUCCUGUCUCAGUGACAAUACAAAGCCCCCUCCCAUCCUCCAGAGCUGGAUUAUUCCGAUGCGAGGACAACAGCUGGGGGCAAGGGUCAGAGUUGCAGAUGGUGCGAAGACAGGUAUGAAUUCACCUGUCAAAGAAAAUACAUGUAUUUUUCCAUCACUAAGGAAUGGCUUUAUUAAUCUCGCAAUGGGAAGGAGUGAGCUAUGAUGCUGGGAGACAUGCCCAGAAACAGCCUCCAAGUGCACCUCCAGAAGAAAAGGGCAUUCUGUGUGGAAUGGUUCAAACAGGAGAGAAGAUUGCGGGCAUGUGCGCCAGACACACCAUGCUAGAUUCCGGGCAUGCGCUACCAGUCAUGCCAUUGGGCAUGCGCC
rnacentral:lncRNA from 1 species